rnacentral:lncRNA from 1 species
UAACAUUAAAAAUUAACAUCAGAAUCAACAAAAGAUCACACUUGCAACAUAGAAAAAUAUGUAUGAAAAUGACUAUGCCAUCCCAUUUAGGAUCGUAAAUUCCACCGUAACAUAUGACUGUCAUGUUUCAUUCAACACUCAUAGAGCGUAUAUCAAGUUUGCAACAUUGAAAUGUGGUAUAUGCAAAAUUUGAUAUCAAACAUUUGAAACAUAAAAGAUAUACACAGAAAAUAGUUCAUAACUGCAUUUGAUUCUGUGACAAAAUCUCCACUCUUUGACCAAUCUCACAAUAAAAC